CCGAAAUUCAAUAUAUGUAUGAGUGACAGGGGCUCAAGUUUGUAUGGAAGUCUAUGGGAAAACAUUUAGUGGUGUUUGUCCUAUAGAAUAGCGAUGCAUUCUCAAGAAGGAGGAGAUUAAUGAACCCUCCCCUCUUACAAUGAACAACACAUGGACACUCUCAGGAUGGUGCCUUUGCUUUCAUUAAGAGUUCCAAGAUGAGGGUCUGAUUGACUGGGGUGUGAAAUGUAACAGCCAAUGGUGUACUUAAGCUAAGACUGUCAGUCCCAAUAUUCAAGAGGAAAAACCCCUACAUAAACAAAUACAUGGGCGCAGACAUUUUGGACACCCAAAGUUGUGCGGAGGAGAAAAUGCUACUUGGCGCGUGAUUGGUCAAUAAG